CCGUGCUAGAUGGGGAGAUGGCGGUGCCCUGUUACCUGCAAUCCGCCUUAGCGGGGUUGAAUUCCUCUUUAGCGGUAUGGUUCAUGUAAGGUUUGCCUUAUGCAAGCAGUGAUGAAAAUUGGGGUCCGCGCAACAGACAUCUAUGAAUCUGGUCAGGCCUGGAAGGGAGCAGCCAUAAGUAGAUUCGCCUGUGUGCCGCAGGGUAGCCCUGAUCGAGCUGGCUACAUAAGUAACGCUUAUGUGACCGUAUCAAUAAGAGGUGCACGG
rnacentral:SRP_RNA from 1 species